UACGAAGGGGGCUAGCGUUGCUCGGAAUCACUGGGCGUAAAGGGUGCGUAGGCGGGUCUUUAAGUCAGGGGUGAAAUCCUGGAGCUCAACUCCAGAACUGCCUUUGAUACUGAGGAUCUUGAGCUCGGGAGAGGUGAGUGGAACUGCGAGUGUAGAGGUGAAAUUCGUAGAUAUCGGGAGGAACACCAGUGGCGAAGGCGGCUUUCUGGCCUGUUCUUGACGCUGAGGCGCGAAAGCU
rnacentral:rRNA from 1 species